ACUGAACUCCCAAUCUGCUUCGAGAUCUGUCUUAGGAUUGGUGAAUUAUGUUCAUUUUUAAAAAGGGAUGUGAUAGACAACAUCUAGAGAACCGGGCAAGGAGUAUACAUCUGAAAAGGACAAGGUGCUUUGAAACCAACAGCUCAUCAACAGGUUCAUGGAUGAACCUGGAAAUAUUUAUAAAUAUUGAUUCCAGAUUUCAGAGACGGGUGUCUCGAAAUGUUGCCCAGGUUGGUCUUGAACUCCCGGACUCAAGUGAUCCCCCCACCGGGCCUCCCAAAGUGCUGGGAUUAUCAGUGUGAGCCACCAACCCCUGCAGAGUCUACAUCUGAAAUAAACCACAGAAGCAAGGAUAUCACUUAAACAAUGUAACUUACCAAUUCAGUCUGAGUGAGUUUUGUAGUUUACAACAUAUUGAUGAAAACAGUUAAGUGUCUACAUUCCGUUUACAUAAGAGAAUGCUAUUAAAGCUUUUAAAAUAAAAAACUUAAAACUAUUCCCCUCACCCCCCCCAAAAAGUCUAACUAUAAAGAUGGGUUUGCUACAAAAUAAUUAUCAAAACUGAUUUACCAAGUAAGAUGUCCUCUCGCUCACUGCCCCCCCAAAAAUAUGUAUACUGUAGGAAUACUCCUAGGAAGUGACACAAGUGGAAGAAAAAACUUUCUUUCAAUAUGCUAAAAACAUCUACAGUGCACUAAAAAAAAGUCCCUAAAUUUGGCAAUACAUUUCUUCCAGAAAUGUUAUUCAAUAACAUAAACAUUAUGAAGUAGAACUGGCUGUCCCAUAUGUUCAGAAUAAAAGGGUUAAGCGGAGUCCUGCAUAACUAGCA
rnacentral:antisense_RNA from 1 species